rnacentral:rRNA from 1 species
UACGUAGGGUGCGAGCGUUAAUCGGAAUUACUGGGCGUAAAGCGUGCGCAGGCGGUGAUGUAAGACAGAUGUGAAAUCCCCGGGCUUAACCUGGGAAUGGCAUUCGGGACUGCAAGGCUGGAGUGCGGCAGAGGAGACUGGAAUUCCUGGUGUAGCAGUGAAAUGCGUAGAUAUCAGGAGGAACACCGAUGGCGAAGGCAGGUCUCUGGGCUGACACUGACGCUCAUGCACGAAAGCGUGGGGAGCAAACAGG